rnacentral:tRNA from 1 species
GUUCUUAUAGUUGAAAUACAACGAUGAUUUUUCAUGUCAUUAGU